GCGGUGCCAUGUCCGCACCCGGGAUCUGAACCGGCGAACCCCGGGCCACCGAAGCGGAACGUGUGCACUUAACCGCUGCGCCACCAGGCUGGCCCCUCAACCUCAUUCUUGCUUUUGAUUCUUCCAGAUACUAAACUAUGACAGCAAACAGCCCUUUCCUCCCAAGAAACACAUAAAAAUGUAAAUUAAGGGUGAUCAGGUUUGGGUUAACAAAGCAUCAUCAGACACUUUGGGGUGAUGCCGGAAUUACUGUCUUCUAGAUGAAGAAUGAGAGGAAAUGGUCAGAGGUGGUAGCAAUGGGAAUCUGGUUGCUUUUGCAUGGUUUUCCCACCUGGCAGCAAAUGCAACACAACAAAAAGAAGAUGGAGCAGAGCGAUGUGCCUCAGUCCCCAUUUUCUGAGUUCCUUUUUUAGGUGGCAAAACAAGGCAGUGGAGUGGUGUCCUAUCCUGUCCUAUGUGUGCAGCCCAGUUGUGCUAACCUUAUGCCUAAUGCCUGUGGCUCUCUCGAGGAGGGAAGGGGAAGGAGGGGGCUGGUGGAAUGCUCUGUGCCCAAGUGGGGAACUUGCCUUGGAGCCACGGCAAGAACAGAGUGUUCCUGUUCCCCCAGCCCCCACCCAGCUCUGGCUGCAGCGGGGCUGCGCUCUGCUAGCACCCUGCCUCAUGCACUGUCCACACUUCGGCAGUAACCAGGAACCUAGAGGGCAGGACAGUUCACGUAAGCAUCAUGUCUAUAUGUUGGUGACUCCCAAAUUUACUUCCCUAGCCUGCACCUCCCUCUUGGAUCAAGGUGCUUACCGCCAAGUGCUUAUUUGACAUCUCUACUUGGGCGUCUAAUAGGCAUCUUAAACUUUACCUAAGUGUGGUAGAUCCUUAAAUAAUGGUCCUCAGUGAAUCAACCUCUCUCCCCUAUGUUCUUUUGCAAUAAAAGUUUACUGCUCCUCCCACUCAAGAGGCCGUGCUUUUUCUCCAACUGCUGUUUGAACCUGCGUUUGCCUUGUGACUUGCUUUGACCAAUAGAACGUGCCAUUGUGUAAGUUCCAGACCUUAGGCCCUAAGAGGUCUUGCAGUUUCCUCACUGGCCCUCUUAAAAUUCAGCUGCACGUAAGAAGCCUGGACUAGCAUCCUUGAGGAUGUGAGACCACAUAGGGAAAGAGGCCCUGAAACCACACGGAACCAUCCCAACAGCCAAGCCUCCAGGCAAACACAAGCUACAGACAGCACACUGGUGAGACCAGAAGACCGACACUCCAGUCAACCCACAGAAAUUUCCUAGACCUGAAAUCUGAUGAAUGAGAAAGUGGCAAGUCUCCAGGAAGAAGGACCCUGCAAUAUCACAACAGAGUCUGCUUCAGGUCACAUGUUGCCCUGGAGAACCAAGAAGGGCGAGCAAACCAACAACCAGUUAUGGCCCCAAAAAGCCAGAGGAUGGAAGAAAGCAAAGUCUUUAUUAUCAAACAAGAAAUAUGCAAUUUACAAAGGAAAUUGUUACAAGUUCUCUUUUUUUACAUGAUGUUGUUGAAAUAAAAUCUAGUAGAUGUAUCUAUUGGUAAGGAAAAGACCAAAACAAUGCCGGGCAGUGACAUGAAAGUAACAUAAUGACAUCAAAGUAACAUAAUACUGUAAUCUACUUGACAUUCUCUGAUGAUACACUACAACACGGCAGCCUGUAAUUUCCUACUGAUUAACAUGCCAAGAAAAUGCCAGUUACUUAUUGGAAUGUAAAAUUUGGAUGAUUUUCAUUGAUGUGGGGGGUUACACACGUGGGUAUGUGUGUAUGUGGCUUCUCUCUCCCACUUUUUACAAAAGUUGAUUCUGAUUAUUAACUUUUGAGUAAAAGUUGUCAUCAUGCUAUCAUUAAAAACCAUUUAUUAAAUCUCCAAAUUGCAAAGUAUGUUUUGUCUUUGAUUGUAACCAUUUGUUUAUUUACCUUUCUUUCAACUAGUCAGUGAGCAGUUUACAAAGGUACUCAAUAAACGUCUGCACAAGGUUAUCUAACCUGAAUUUUAAAAAAAGAGAAUUACACAGCACAAUAAAAGCAUAAUAACAAUAAUGAAAAUAUAAAAGGGUAUUAAGUGGCUGGCCGGAAGGCCAGGUUCCUAUUCUAGCUCUGCUCCUUCUUGGUUGUUUGACCUUGCACGGGUCUCAAUUCCUAAAUCUAUUUCCUCAUCUGCAAAAUGGAACUACUCAUAUUUGCUCCACUUACCUCAUAGGGUUAUUGUAAGAAUCACAUAAGUCCAUGGAUUUUAAGGUGUUUUCAAACUGUAAAGUAUCUUGCUAAUGGUACUUAUUUUUUCAGUGAAAACAUUUUUAAAGUGACAUGCAUUUUACUAGGAUGUAAAAUAUGAUUGGCAAAACAGACUCAAGAAUUCCAAGCCAAGGCAGAAGGAGAGCAGGGAAGCCCCCACUCGCCUCACGGGUCCUGCAGUAGUCGAGAGGGGACCUACGCCUGCUCUCUGCUAUUUAUUAUUUACGUGUCUUCUCUGAGUUUCCAUUUCUUUAUAUCAAUCUCUCUGAACCUCAGUUACACCAUCUGUUCCAUGGGAAAAAAACAUGCCUUACUGACCCCAGAUGGUUUUCUAGGAGGCUCAGAUUAGAUCAUUGUUGCUCAGGUCUCUUUGCUGGCCAUAAAGUGCUAUACAAAUGUAAAGAAAUCUGGUAAUAUUUUCUAAAAGGUGAUGAGCUUCCAGGAAUAGUUUCAAUACAGCGCACAGUCUGAGGGUGUGGGAGGCUUACACUGGUAGGCACAUCCCAGGAAAGAACAGAAUACGCUUCACUGUCUUGAGUUGGAUUACAUAUUGCCUCACAAACUCCAUGCUGGCAAGGCCUUGGAAAAGAGCAAAACGAAACAUAGGCCCUUUCACAUUCACUAGCUUAUUAAAUCUUCCCAACACGGGUGCCAACCAGGAAUUAUUACGCCCAUUUUAUUGAAGCUUGAAGAUGUUGAGACUUUCCCAAGAUCAUGCAACUGGGAAAUGGCUGCAUCUGAAACGAACUCUUCCAGCAUGAGUGGGAGAGGACAAAGGGUGCUUAAACGGAAGGGAAAAACUAGGGGGAGGUGGCCUUACACAAAUGGCCCCUUUCUCAUUCCUCCCUGACACAACUCUCUAUUCAAUUCAUCAAAUCUAUUUUCUGUCUCUUACAAAUACUUCACGUCUCUCACUAUGGCUACAGCGCCCAGAGAAACAACUGUAACAGCAGGUGGAUUUAGGAUGUGAUAGGGUGACAGCCAUAGAUGGGCAAGAAGGCAUUUCUACCGGAGCAAGGCUGGUCACUGUUCACAGCUGCAGCAGCCUCCUCCCCGAAAAGAUCUUUAACUGGUGCAGUGGCCGGGGCUAGCUUCAAUCCAUCCCUGAUAGAAAUGCCUGGUUCUUAGGGCCGGCCCGGUGGCGCAGUGGUUAAGUGCACACGUUCGGCUUCGGCAGCCCGGGGUUCGCCAGUUUGGAUCCCAGGUGCAGACACGGCACCGCUUGGCAAGCCAUGCUGUGGCAGGUGUCCCAUGUAUAAAGUAGAGGAAGAUGGGCACCGAUGUUAGCUCAGGGCCUAAGUCACAUCCCAACUCUACACAUAGACUCCGAGGUCUGCGUAAAUACCCUCUGCUCUCCACCUCCACCCUCAUAAAUACGUUCGCCCUGAGGCUCAGGCGAGUUAACAGCAGUUCCUCAGCCACAAAAAUACUAGGGCUCCCUGUUUACGCAUAAACCUGUCUUCACCACCUAGAAUUCCUCCCUCAUUAAGUUAUGUCUCUUCUCUUAUUUAAAAUCUAAUUCAAACACCAAAUUGGAAACAGCUCCAAUGACCAUCAGUUUGGAGAACAAUUUAAAUAAAUUAUGAUAACACGUUCAUUCAAUGGACUAUUAAGCAAUCAUUAAAAAGAAUGAAGUGGAUACGGCAAGACUGCCAAAAUAUAAUGUCAAG